AUGAGCGCAUGUGCCUCCUUCUGUCCCGACCCCUAUGGCGUCUUCGGGUUCAUGGGAGAGCACGGCCCGCCCGGCAAGUACUGCAACGGCAUGAAGUGCUGCCAGGCGCCCAUCGCCGUCGUCCGUGACGAGGCAGCGAGCUACGUAACGUUCAAAUGGUUCGCGCAGAACAGAAGCGCGGAUCAGGAGGCGUACUCGGUGCCGGCCCGCGUGUUCGUCGCCGAAGAGGGGUGGUUCGAUAACUACCACGAUGGUGCAAUGGAAGUUCCUUUGUCAAAAGAUGCAACGGCAGUUCCUAUUCUUUUGGACUGGAGUAUCGUUGAUGUAGAGCCGCCCCCAUCAACAGACUACAUCAACUGGCCGGAAUUCCCUCGUGAUUGCCCGAGUAAAGUGCCCACCAGCAUAUGCAAGAGCGACAAAAGCAUGUGCAGGCAGGGUGCAGACUACAUGAACUGCUACUGCAAAGAAGGAUACGAAGGCAAUCCCUACAUCCCCGACGGCUGCCAAGAUAUAAAUGAGUGUGAGCAGCCAGGAGGAAGCCGGUGCCUUGGUAAAUGCAAAAAUACGGAAGGCUCUUUUGAGUGCGAGUGUCCAUCAGGAACCCAUGGCAACCAUAAUCUGCCCAACGGCUGCGUCUCUUCAUUCACAGUCACAGAUAAGGGUAUCAUCAUAGGAGUUGCUAGCGGGGCAUGCCUUGUACUUUUGGUUUUUAUUGGGAUCUUCAUUUCCAAGAAACUAAGGCACAAAAGGACACAAAUGUUGAAGCGCAAGUUCUUUGAGCAGAAUCGUGGUCAAUUGUUGCAACAAUUGGUAUCUCAAAGAGCUGAUAUUGCAGAAAGGAUGAUUAUACCUUUAGAAGAGCUAGAGAAGGCGACAAACAACGUUGAUAAAGCUCGUGAGCUUGGUGGCAGAGGGCAUGGCACAGUCUACAAAGGUAUUUUAUCAGACCUCCAUGUCGUGGCUAUCAAGAAACCAAAGAAGGUGGUUCAAAAAGAGAUUGAUGAGUUUAUCAAUGAGGUUGCUAUACUUUCACAAAUCAACCAUCGAAAUGUAGUAAAACUCUAUGGUUGUUGUCUUAAAACAGAAGUCCCAAUGUUGGUUUAUGAGUUCAUAUCAAAUGGAACCCUUUAUGAUCAUCUUCAUGUUGAGGGACCAAAAUCAUUGUCAUGGAGUGAUAGGCUACGAAUAGCAAUUGAAACAGCUAAAUCCCUAGCAUAUCUUCACUCGACAGCUUCAAUACCUAUCAUCCACAGAGACAUCAAGUCAGUUAACAUACUUUUGGAUGAUACUCUAACAACAAAGAUAACAGAUUUUGGAGCUUCAAGGUAUAUUUCAGUGGAGAAAUCAGGGUUAACAACCAUGGUGCAAGGUACCAUCGGAUAUUUAGACCCUAUGUACUUCUACACAGGGCGACUCACGGAGAAAAGUGAUGUCUACAGUUUUGGUGUCAUGGUUGUAGAACUGUUGACCAGAAAGAAGCCAUUUUCAUAUUUAUCCCCCAGUGGUGAUGGCAUUGUUGCGCAUUUUGCUAUGUUAUUUGCAGAAGAUAACUUGUCGCAUAUACUAGAUCCACAAGUUAUAGAUGACUGGAGCAAAGAAGCCCAUGAAGUCGCUACACUUGCAAUAGCAUGUACACAGUUAAAAGGAGAGGAUCGCCCAACCAUGCGACAAGUGGAGUUGACACUAGAAAGCCUACAAUCAUCAAUGCAUAUUGUUUCAGAUAAUGUGGUGGAUGAGGAAUUUGAGAAUGACGUUAUCCCAAUAAAUUGCCCAAUGAAUGAGCAUGAAAGAGGCGGUGAUGAGGAUUCAACGAGACAAUAUAGUAUGGAAGAAGAGUUCAUGAUAUCAUCAAGGUAUCCUCGGUAG
rnacentral:rRNA from 1 species